GGUGGCUCAGUGGUAGAGCGCUUGCCUUGAAUGCAUGAGGCUCUGGGUUCCAUUCCUCAGCACCA
rnacentral:tRNA from 1 species